rnacentral:rRNA from 1 species
UACGUAGGGGGCUAGCGUUGUCCGGAUUUAUUGGGCGUAAAGAGCGUGUAGGCGGCCAGGUAGGUCUGGUGUGAAAACUCGAGGCUUAACCUCGAGAUGUCAUCGGAAACCAUCUGGCUAGAGUCCGGAAGAGGAGAGUGGAAUUCCUGGUGUAGCGGUGAAAUGCGUAGAUAUCUGGAGGAAUACCGGUGGCGAAGGCGGCAUCCUGGACCAUUACUGACGCUGAGGCGCGAAAGCUAGGGGAGCAAACGGG